CUGCAUGGACAUGAGGGCCCCUGCUCAGCUCCUGGGAUUUCUGCUGCUCUGGCUUCCAGGUUUCAGAUGUGACAUCCAGAUGACUCAGUGUCCAUCUUCCCUGUCUGCAUCUCCGGGAGACAGAGUCUCCAUCAAUUGCUGGGCCAGUCAAGACAUUCGCUCUAAUUUAGCCUGGUAUCAUCAGAAACCAGGGAAAACUCUCAAGCUCCUGAUCUAUGAAACAUCCAGUUUGGAAUCUAGGAACCCAUCCAGGUUCAGUGGGAGUCAAUCUGGGACAGAGUUCACUCUCACCAUCAGCAGCCUGCAGCCUGAGGAUUUUGCCACUUAUUACUGUCAACAGGAUAGUAGUUACCCUCCCACAGUGCUACAAGCCAUAACAAAAACCUCCCAGGGAAGCAGAAGUGAGAGGCUGGGCUGCCCAGCUGCUCCUCCUGGUGCUUCCAUCUAUGAUAGAGCUUCUCAGGUGUAG